AUUGAACGCUGGCGGCAUGCCUUACACAUGCGAGUCGAACGGCAGCACGGGAGCAAUCCUGGUGGCGAGUGGCGAACGGGUGAGUAAAGUAUCGGAACGUGCCCAGUCGUGGGGGAUAACGUAGCGAAAGUUACGCUAAUACCGCAUACGAUCUAUGGAUGAAAGCGGGGGAUCGCAAGACCUCGCGCGAUUGGAGCGGCCGAUAUCAGAUUAGGUAGUUGGUGGGGUAAAGGCUCACCAAGCCGACGAUCUGUAGCUGGUCUGAGAGGACGACCAGCCACACUGGGACUGAGACACGGCCCAGACUCCUACGGGAGGCAGCAGUGGGGAAUUUUGGACAAUGGGCGCAAGCCUGAUCCAGCCAUGCCGCGUGCAGGAUGAAGGCCUUCGGGUUGUAAACUGCUUUUGUACGGAACGAAAAGGUUUGGCCUAAUAAGCUGAGCUCAUGACGGUACCGUAAGAAUAAGCACCGGCUAACUACGUGCCAGCAGCCGCGGUAA
rnacentral:rRNA from 1 species